CGAGCUGUAUUAAAGUGAAACUCGCGAAAAGCUCAUUAAAUCAGUUAUGGUUCACUCGAACCUGCAACACUGUGGAUAACUGUGGUAAUUCUAGAGCUAAUACAUGCACUAAAGUCCCGUCCAGUGAUGGAAAGGACGCUUUUAUUAGAUUAAAACCAAUCGGUCUGGUCCGCCAGUCCGUUGGCUUUGAUGACUCUAAAUAACACGGUCAAUCGUACGGCCUUGCGCCGACGAUGUAUCUUUCAAAUGCCUGACUUAUCAACUGUCGAUGGUAGAUUUUAUGUCUACCAUGGUUGUAACGGGUGACGGGGAAUCAGGGUUCGAUUCCGGAGAGGGAGCCUGAGAAACAGCUACCACAUCCAAGGAAGGCAGCAGGCACGCAAAUUACCCACUCCCGACACGGGGAGGUAGUGACAAAAAAUAACGAUACGGGACUCAUCCGAGGCCCCGUAAUCGGAAUGAGAACACUUUAAAUCUUUUAACAAACCUCCAUUAGAGGGAAAGUCUGGUGCCAGCAGCCGCGGUAAUUCCAGCUCUAAUAGCGUAUAUUAAAGUUGUUGCGGUUAAAAAGCUCGUAGUUGGUUCUGUGUGCCACGCUGUCGGUUCACCGCCUGACGGUGCAACUGGCAUGCCGUGGGACGUCUUGCCGGAGAGAGCCCGGACCGUUGUGGAGCCGCAGGGCUAACCCCCUGCGUCCACUUCAGACGUUUGGCUCUCGAUCAUGAUGCCGCGGUGCUCUUGACUGAGUGUCGCGGCAUGCCGGCAAGUUUACUUUGAACAAAUUAGAGUGCUUAAAGCAGGCUUGAAUCGCCUGAAUAUUGGUGCAUGGAAUAAUGGAAUAGGACCUUGGUUCUAUUUUGUUGGGUUUCUGAAUGCAAGGUAAUGAUCAAUAUGGACAGUCGGGGGCAUUCGUAUUGCGACGUUAGAGGUGAAAUUCUUGGAUCGUCGCAGGACGAACUAGAGCGAAAGCAUUUGCCAAGUAUGUCUUACUUGAUCAAGAACGAAAGUUAGAGGCCCGAAGGCGAUCAGAUACCGCCCUAGUUCUAACCAUAAACGAUGUCAACCAGCAAUCUGCCAAUGUUCCUCCGAUGACUUGGCAGGCGACUCCCGGGAAACCACAAGUUUUUGGGUUCCGGGGGAAGUAUGGUUGCAAAGCUCAAACUUAAAGGAAUUGACGGAAGGGCACCACCAGUACUGGAGCCUGCGGCUUAAUUUGACUCAACACGGGAAAUCUGACCAGGCCAAAACAUUUGAAGGAUUGACAGAUUGAUAGCUCUUUCUCGAUUCAGUGGGUAGUGGUGCAUGGCCGUUCUUAGUUCGUGGAUCGUUUUGUCUGGUUAAUUCCGAUAACGGACGAGACUCUGGCUUACUAACUAGUCGCCCGGAUCCUACGGCUCUGGGCGAACAAUAAUCUUCUUAGAGGGACAGGCGGCGUUCAGCCGCACGAGAUUGAGCAAUAACAGGUCAGUAAUGCCCUUAGAUGUUCUGGGCCGCACGCGCGCUACACUGAAGGAAUCAGCGUGUGUCUCCCUGGCCGAAAGGCCCGGGUAACCCGCUGAACCUCCUUCGUGCUAGGAAUUGGGACUUGCAAUUGUUUCCCAUGAACGAGGAACUUCAAGUAAGCGCGAGUCAUAAGCUCGCGUUGAUUACGUCCCUGCCCUUUGUACACACCGCCCGUCGCUACUACCGAUUGAAUGAUUUAGUGAGGUCUUCGGACUGGUUACGGUAGGUUCGAUAGAACCGAUGUAGCCGGAAAGAUGACCAAACUUGAUCAUUUAGAGGAAGUAAAAGUCGUAACAAGGUUUCCGUAGGAAAACCCCGGCGGAAAACCUUGUUAGGACUUUUACUUCCUCUAAAUGAUCAAGGUUGG
rnacentral:rRNA from 1 species